AAAGCAGACUGGGCAAUCGCGGCGCUUUUAGCGUCGAGGAAAGUCCGGACACCCUCCAAUUUUGUUCGCGAAUACAGGAGCGAAUACAAAAUUGAGAGCCCGCCAUAGCUUUACGCGAAGGUGGGCCCGCCUACGCCUUUUAGGCUUCGGCGGAUGCUCAAAAUUGUAUCCUCGCUUGCUCGGACAAUUUUGGCAGAAGUAAGCAGUGGAUAACACCCACCAGGUGCAUCGCGAGGUGCAUUUAGGGAAAGUCCCGCCUUUGGCGGGAUCCCGCUUCUAAAGUUAUUUAUAAUUUUGGGGCGGUGAUGCCACAGAGACUAUACUAUCCUGAGGUAAUACCAAGGGAGCAAGGUGAAAAGUAUGUUGGUGUUUAAGUAUUCGCUAUAUCAGCUGAUUAGCGAAGUUUGAGCUACAGCAUUCUCCGACCCGUGAGGAGUUGGAGUGGUAAACCCUACUUGGUGCAAGGCCGUGUCCCGAUGUAAAAGUUGGGAAGUUGCCGCUUGAGUCCGAUGGCAACAUCGGAUCUAGAUAGAUGAUUGCUAUCCUAGCCUAAUAGCUAGGACACAGAAUCCGGCUUAUAGGUUUGCUUUGAUA
rnacentral:RNase_P_RNA from 1 species